UUUCUUUUUUUAUUUAUUUAUCUAUUAGUUCUUUAAUUUAAUUCCCGAUUCCAAAAUUUUCGUUUCUCCUAUUUUAUUGGACAUUUAGGUCAGGAGUAAGCUCUAGAGGUGAAUGGACCAAUUUGCCCCUCGCCGGUCUGAUCCAGUUUGUUAGUUAUUCAAUAUUUCUUUCGAAUCCCUGACUUAAUUAUUUGACCUGUUUAACAAUUCUUUUCUGUGAUUUUCUCUUUUCCACUGUGU
rnacentral:misc_RNA from 1 species